CAGUCGCCGCGGUAAUACGAAGGGGGCUAGCGUUGUUCGGAAUAACUGGGCGUAAAGGGCGCGUAGGCGGAUCUUUAAGUCGGGGGUGAAAUCCCAAGGCUCAACCUUGGAACUGCCUUUGAUACUGGAGAUCUUGAGUCCGGGAGAGGUGAGUGGAACUGCGAGUGUAGAGGUGAAAUUCGUAGAUAUUCGGAAGAACACCAGUGGCGAAGGCGGCUCACUGGACCGGUAUUGACGCUGAGGUGCGAAAGCGUGGGGAGCAAACAGGAUUAGAUACCCCAGUAGUCCCUGUCUCUUAUAC
rnacentral:rRNA from 1 species